rnacentral:rRNA from 1 species
AGAGUUUGAUCCUGGCUCAGGACGAACGCUGGCGGCGUGCUUAACACAUGCAAGUCGAACGGAAAGGCCUCUUCGGAGGUACUCGAGUGGCGAACGGGUGAGUAACACGUGGGCAAUCUGCCCUGCACUUCGGGAUAAGCCUGGGAAACUGGGUCUAAUACCGGAUAGGACCUCAAGACGCAUGUCUUCUGGUGGAAAGCUUUUGCGGUGUGGGAUGGGCCCGCGGCCUAUCAGCUUGUUGGUGGGGUGAUGGCCUACCAAGGCGACGACGGGUAGCCGGCCUGAGAGGGUGUCCGGCCACACUGGGACUGAGAUACGGCCCAGACUCCUACGGGAGGCAGCAGAAGGG